rnacentral:rRNA from 1 species
UACAGAGGUCUCAAGCGUUGUUCGGAUUCAUUGGGCGUAAAGGGUGCGUAGGUGGCGCUGUAAGUCAGGUGUGAAAUUUCGGAGCUUAACUCCGAAACUGCCUUCGAUACUGCGGGUCUCGAGUCCGGGAGAGGUGAGUGGAAUUCCUAGUGUAGAGGUGAAAUUCGUAGAUAUUAGGAAGAACACCAGUGGCGAAGGCGGCUCACUGGCCCGGUACUGACGCUGAGGCGGCGAAAGCGUGGGGAGCAAACAGG